ACUCAAAUGAAUUGACGGGGGCUCACACAAGCGGUGGAGCAUGUGGCUCAAUUCGAAGCAACGCGAAGAACCUUAUCCUGGACUUGACAUGGUAGAAGUAGGACCCAGAAAUGGUUACGACCGGUAUCCAAUCCGGAACUAUCACAGGUGCUGCAUGGCUGUCGUCAGCUCGUGCUGUGAAGUGUCGGGUUAAGUCCCAUAACGAGCGAAACCCUUAUCGUUAGUUGCCAGCGGGUCAAGCCGGGCACUCUAACGAGACUGCCGGUGUUAAACCGGAGGAAGGCGGGGAUGACGUCAAGUCCUCAUGGCCUUUAUGUCCAGGGCUGCACACGUGCUACAAUGCCGAUGACAAACCGAAGCAAGACCGUAAGGUGGAGCAAAUCGGAGAAAAAUCGGCCCAGUUCAGAUUGAGGGCUGCAACUCGCCCUCAUGAAGUUGGAAUCGCUAGUAAUCGCGGAUCAGCUACGCCGCGGUGAAUGUGUUCCUGAGCCUUGUACACACCGCCCGU
rnacentral:rRNA from 1 species